GACGAAGGGGGCUAGCGUUGUUCGGAAUUACUGGGCGUAAAGCGCACGUAGGCGGCCUUUCAAGUCGGAUGUGAAAGCCCCGAGCUUAACUCGGGAACUGCAUUUGAUACUGUUGGGCUAGAGACCGGGAGAGGAUAGCGGAAUUCCCAGUGUAGAGGUGAAAUGCGUAGAUACCGGGAGGAACACCAGUGGCGAAGGCGACUACCUGGCCUGUUCUUGACGCUGAGGCGCGAAAGCUAGGGGAGCAAACGGG
rnacentral:rRNA from 1 species